CUCAAUCUGGAGACCCUGGCCAGAGGUAAGGUUAAUUAUUCUACUACAGGUUAGGAAGAAAACGGCUUUUCUUAUGGGCGAGUUUGGCACAGGGAAAAUUUCUGCCGCUAGGUGCGCUGGCGUAGCUAAAGGGUAACACAACACUGCCAUUUUAUGAGGGUGAACGUGAGAAAACCGCAUUGAAGUCAAUUAAAAUAGUCGGUAUGGUAUUUGGUUAUGUGCUUUUUUUUGCAAGAAUUAUAUUGAACAAGUCUUCCGUAAAGAAUGUGUGAAUUUCACAACUUUAUGGCUUUUGGAUACGUAAAUAACAACUACUGCGUUUUUGUUUCGCCGCGAGCAAUCGAACCUGCAUAUGAAGGUAAGCAAAUAUUUGAGAUAAGUUAUGACUGGAUGAAAAUAGAUGUGUUUGUUUGUGUUUUUAUCGGUUUGAUAUCACAGUAACUAUACUAUUGUGAUGAACGACUUUUUAGUUUGUUAACGUUGCUGAUUCGCGGAUUAAUGGAAAUUAGGCGAAUAAUAACUAAAGUGAAGUUGAGGUCAGCUUUGUACUUCAAUUACAGAUAAAUUACAGAUUUACUUGUUAUUAAUAUAGCAAGCGUAAUAUAAAUAACCUUUCACUUGGUUAUUAUUCGACUGAUUUCUCGGGAUAUGCGACAGUCUUUCCAAGCUUAACAACGUAAUUUUUAUUCGUGCCACUAAUACAAUUUACAUCCCAUAUUCCAUUAUCAGUUACAGCAAGUCCGAAUUUAACAUUUAUGGACACAAAACAUUAGUGAUUUACUAAGAUAUUUAAGAGAAAAAUAAUUUUUUUUUCCCAACUUUUCAUUGCUUCACUGAAAUUUUGUUUUCAAAACUAUGAGUGUAGUGAGCUUGUGCACCCAUCUACUUGCAGCAUUUGUGCUUGUUUAAAAAUUUGAAAUAGGGAUAAAAUGUGGUAGGUAAAUGGAUGUUCCUUUUGUGCUUAAUCUGCUAGCACUAUGUGAAGCAGGAUGGCAAAUAUAUUCAAUAAAAAAAAUUAAAUAAUUAAAUCAGUGCCAUUGGAUGUGUAGUUUAAAGGGGUGGUUCUUAACUAAACGAUUUUACAAUUUUUUUUUGUAGCUAGCCUAACUCAACUGACCAUUUUAAUUUCUCAAUCGUUGUAAUAUAACUAACAUAACCAACUGUCCUUACCCACUAUUUAAGUAUUUUAAAUGUAGCUUACUAAAUAUAACCUAACCAACCAUUUUCACAGUAUCACAAUUCUUGACAUAUUUUUUAAAAAUUAUUUAAGAAAUCAUUAUGUUAUUGUAGUAUACUGUUUUAACAAGUAGAAAUGUUAGGUUAGCUACAUUAAAAUUACUGUGAAAUGGAGUGAAUGAUUGGUUAGGUUAGAAUGUUGGGUUUACUUUUUGAAGGGUUCAAUGCCGAAACAUUUUGUUCAACAUUUAUAAAAAAAAAUAAAUUUUUGUGUGAUUUAUUAUAUGGGGUCUAUAAUUUUAGCAGUUUAAAUUAUUACAUCCUUGCUUUAUUUAGGAAGAGUCUCUUAGGCUCUAGCUUAAAGGAAGAAAUUUUUAAAGUUAAGUUUUGGUGGGUACACUGUAGUGAUAUCUUACAUUUAAGGUUGAAACAACUUUCAUUUUUUUAAUGCAGUUAAUUUGUUAUGGGCUUCAUGCCAUAUGAACUGGGUUACUGUAAUACAAUUUCAUUGUACAUUAAAUAUUUUGGACCUAUUUACUGACUAAAGUUAUAUUCUGUUUGUAAAUACAGUGUGCCGUCACCCGACCUCAAAGGCCCGGGGGGUACCUGACGGGCGCUACGGGCGUCGCGAUGCUGUUGUUGUCCAGAGGGGCGCCAGGCUAGCGGGCUGCUAGGCUGUUGAUGUUGGGUCGUGGGUACUCUGCCCCCGCGUGCUCCGCCAGGCUGUUGAUGGUGAAAGAAACAAUUCUGGCUGAUAUUUGGUGGAUAAUUCCCACAUGUCAAUAUACUCCAAGAAACCACGAAGUGUCUACAUAAGAAACAAAGAAUCAUUAUUCAUUAAGUAUUUUUCAUGUUUCAAUACAGGAAAAUCUUUAUUUUUGUUAAGUGCAGUUUAUGAAUAGAAGCAAAUAUUUCUUUUAAUGUUAAAUUAUUACUGUAUUUUUUUAUAUCAGUUAUUAUAAAAAAUAACUAAACGAAUAAUUCUGAGUAGCCUAUUUGUUAUGUACAGACAUAAUAUUGAAAUAUUUCAAAAUUUAGAGUUUUACCUUUUCAUCAUCUGAUCCAACAGUCAGGCCUUUCCAUGGUUUGUUGUUGUCUAGUAUGGAAUAAACUUGUGCAACUUUUUCUAUGUAAUUUACAGUGCCAGAAAUAUUUUCUAGACCAGGCUUGUUACUGUAAAACUUCAAAGCUGCAGCUGUUUCCAUGCUGAAAAGCUAAAAGCAUAAAAAUUUCAUUAUAAUUUUUACAGCAAUAAGAAAUUAUUUUUUUAAUGUGAGUUUCGUGUAAGUUUCUAACCAGUUUUAAUCAUGUAAUUACCCUCAAAUGUAUUGUGUUUGUGUGAUAAUGUAAAUUAAAUUAUUAAGCUAGGUUGUUUGUAAAAAAAAUGUUAAAUAUAAAACUAUACUGGUGACAUACAAUUUAUUAAUUUUUUUAGUUCUUAAAUAUAAUGUUUUCAUCAGUGAUUAUUGGAUUAUUUCAGUUCAUGCAAUGCCCAAUACAAAUAACUUAAUAAUUUAACAUCUAGUGUAGCCUAGUAAGUUGAAUUUUAAUUUUGAGUGGUAUCAAAAUAAUUUAGUAAAACUUUUGUUGUCUCCCCAUGUUAAAAAUAAUUAUUGGUAAAAAAUAAACUGUCUAUAAAAUUA